UACGUAGGGUGCAAGCGUUGUCCGGAAUUAUUGGGCGUAAAGCGCGUGUAGGCGGCGUGACAAGUCGGGUGUGAAAGCCCUCAGCUCAACUGAGGAAGUGCGCCCGAAACUGUCGUGCUUGAGUGCCGGAGAGGGUGGCGGAAUUCCCCAAGUAGAGGUGAAAUUCGUAGAUAUGGGGAGGAACACCGGUGGCGAAGGCGGCCAACUGGUCCGGUACUGACGCUGAGGUGCGAAAGCGUGGGGAGCAAACAGG
rnacentral:rRNA from 1 species